ACACUUACCCGGCCGGGAGAUGCCGUGAUCACGGAUCUCCCAGGGCGAGGCUCACGCAUUGCACUCUGGAUAUACUGACCCCUGCAAUUACACCAAAUGUGGGAAACUCAACUGCAUAAUUUGUGCUAGUGGGGGACUGCAUUUCACACGUUCCCCCC